ACACACACAUGCAGGCAAACACAAACAAGGAAUGGGCGGUUAGAUGUUUCUACAGAUGGAUGUGUGGAUCUUGAUCGUUUUCUAGGUUUCUCAAGCGCAGACUUAAAAUGUUCAUAAUACUAAUGCUUAUAAAAUUAUUACUUGCACAUAUGUGUAGUUUAAGGGCGGUGCCUUAUGAUAUCUACUGGGUUAUCUUAAAUAAUUGCAUGCUAUAAAAGCGCUGUACUUUGGUACCUACCGUUUAGUUCAAUACCCCAGUGCGGCCAUACUGUACUUACAACAAUAAACGCAAACAGUUCUGAAGAAUGCAGGAAGAACACAUAUUGCCUACCCUCCAAGUAUCGCUUCCUGUGUACGGUCUGUUCUCAGUCUUACAGAUCUGGGUCUCUAAAUAGUAUGCAACAUACCCUACCUGUUUUAUUUUAAAUAAUUUUUAAUUUUAAAGAAACAUUUUCCCAGUGAUUUGAGACAAAAUGCCGAAAACGGUAAAAGAUUGUUUGAUUGAAACAUUCGAGGAUUUGACCGAAGAACAGUUUAAGAGAUUCAAAAGUAAACUCAUCGAUCGAAAGGGAGAGCCUAGAAUAGGUAAGGGUAUAGUGCAAAAUAUGGAUAGAUUGGACCUGAUUGACAAACUCGUGAGCACUUUCACAGAGAAAAACGCGGGACAGGUCACAGUUAAUAUCUUACGAUCUGCGAAUUUUACACAGGAAGCCGACGAUUUGCAAGAGAGUUUGGGGAUCGUUUCAUUCUCUUCUGGACAGACUGGUGAGAGUCAGCCUACUUAUGGUCCAUCUUCAAUUUCCAUUGUGAAUGGUAAUUUUUUAGAAUGCAGGAUAAGUGCUUAAAACACAAGCACUUUCUUUAAAAAGAAAAUCCAAAGGAAAAAGCACUUUUUGGAUGUGCACCGAACCACCCUCAUCGAAAGAGUUAACAAUGUGAAUUCCAUCUUGGACCGUCUCCAGGAUAAAGGCAUUCUCAACUCAGUCAGCUACAGUGAUAUUUCUACCUUGCCCAAUGACCAUAAUAAGAUGAGGGCACUGUACGACGGCCCCUUAAAAUCAUGUGGGAACAAAGGAAAAGAUGAUUUACUCUCAAUCCUACAGGAACUCCAGCCAUAUCUAAUGGAUGAGCUGAUGAAAAAGUAGACAUUUAAGCACAAGUAAUGUUUGUUGAGCUUAACAGAAUAAGUCUGCAAUUUGACAGGUUUUUAACAACAGGGUUAUAACACAGAGCCAGUUGUUGUAGGUAAAAACAUACAAUAUAGAAGAUGUUAAUGUACUUGAUACAUGCAAUGGCA